AACAACCUCAUCAACCGGAAGGAAUCCCUUCCGGUUGAUGAGGUGUAACAGCCCCAUCGACCGGAAGGGAUUCCUUCCGGUCGGUGGUAUUGUU
rnacentral:miRNA from 1 species